rnacentral:lncRNA from 10 species
AUAAUUCUAAAUAUAAAAUUACUCUUUUUUUUUUUUUGCAGCUUGGUAAACCUACAAAACUAAAAGAAUGAUAAUAUUCCAAGUAACCUUUAGAUUGUAGUUCUUUAUAAGCUCUGAGGUUGAGGGCAUAUGCAAUGGAAAGAGCCAUGGCCUGGAAUUCAAGAGAACUGAUUUCUAAUCCAAGGUCCACCUCCAGCUCACUGCAGGCAGCAGGAAUUACUGCUCUACCUCACAGUUAAAUAAGGAAGUAAGAAUUUUUCUUUGAGGCAUACCACUCUCACUUCUGGGCGAGUUCACUCUUUGGAAUGUUCUGGCUAUGCACAGUUUCUUUUAGGUCUCUGCUUGCAGUACUGAAGAUCAGAGUUGGGGGUAUCAGGCUAAUCCUCAGGGAAAAGAUCUGACAGGUGUGCCUCUGAAGAGCAGGCACUAACAGUGUGGGAAGGCAGGAGCCGCAGAGAGACACAGGCAGCCCUAACCCUCUCCUGAUGUGAUUUGCAGAGGGUCAUCUUGAGGAACAAAUUAAGUGCUGAAUAUGGAUGUGCUUUAUAAGAUAUAAAGAGCUUUCUCAUUAGUGGAGAAUAUGUUCUGAAGCAUCUAGCCCUCCUUUAAAGUAUGGGAAAAUGGCUGGUGCAGGGAAGGACCCCUGCAGAGAAGCAGGCAGUGCUUCCCUGAUUAAGCGUUCCUAUCAAUCUCCUGAACAAGUGGGAGAUUGCAGUCCUGAGACGAGGAUCCUGGAGGAGAAGAUUUCCCCCCAAGCAGUUCCAUAGACUUACGUGCCAUGAGUGUGUAUGUGGAAAACAGGAUCAGCCGUGGGUGAAAGACAAGAAGGAAGGACAGUGUCAGCAAAGGUCUGAGUGUCAUGCCUCAGUCACAAGGACAGCUGCCAGGGCUCAGAGGGCUGCAGAGCAUAAGGACGACCGCUGGAUUGAAUUCGGACACAUUCCUGAGGCUUUGCAUCACAUACCCAGGAUGGUGGUCCUUGCUCAUCUAAGCUCAUUGCCCUACUCAGCCUCCCUGAAUGUGUGCUUUCCAGGCUGUUGUAUCUGCUUUCCUCCCAGAAAGGAUUACUCAUCUGUGCUCUCACAGCCAUGCCGUCAACACCGGGGAGAGCUUCUGCUACCCUGCUGGGCCAGAGGAUCUCCAGACCCAUGGGUUAUGAAACACAGGAACUCCACAGGCAGAUUCCCUGGAAAGCGGACAGGGCUUGUGCAGCGUGUCCCUCACACCUCCAGUGUACCUAACACUUUACAUCAUGUUUGUACAUAGAAAAUCAGAAAGGCAUGCGCAAGAGGGUGCUGGACCUUGAGUCAUUCACCCUGAAUCACCCGAAGGGAAGGGAUAUGAAUUUAUAUGGUAACUACUAGUUGUUGGAUGGAGUGCUAGGGUAUGCUCCAAGACUCUUAAAAUUUACCCUUUGUGCCAUGCUUUGAGGUAGAUAUUUUAACACUAUAUUUCAGAUGAUGGAACAGAGACACAGAGAGGCUAGGUAACUUGUCUAGAGUCACUCAGUGAUCAAGUGUUUAAACUAGAAAUCCAGCCUGAAUCAUUGUCCCUGCAAAGCCCAAGCUCUCGGCCUCACCCUCAUCUAGAAAAUGAUAGUGGUGGUCAUGUCUCAGAUCCCUUCUGUCUCCAAAGUGCUACCAUCCUUUUAGCUAUGUGCUCAAGGAGUAAAUUAUUUCAUUUUUUGAAGUGUCAGGGCCAUUUACAUAUUAUUACCUGGUGUGCUCUCUUUUCUUGGUAUAUAUUAGGUGUCUUAAAAAAAACUGUUAGAUUGAAUUGAAUUUUCAAAGCUUCAUAUUUUUAGUCUUUAAAAGGAUGAUAAUGUCCCCUGCAUCAGCAGCUUCAAAGGUUGUUAUGAGGCUCAAAUGAAAUCCGGUGUUUGGAAGCAUGUUUUUUACAUGUAUUAUUGUAGUAUAAUGCAUGCAUACUGAUAGAUACAACACAUAACAAUACUCAAUUAUUAUAAUAAAAUGAACAUCCAGCAUCCAAAUCAAGAAACAGAGUAUUGCCAGAAUGGGCAAAGUAUUGCCAGAUUCAGUUUCCUGAAGCCUCCUUGGGCCCCCUCCAGUCACUAGCCCCAUAACCCAAGGAUGACCAGUAUCCUGACAUCCAACAGCAUAGGUCAAUAUUGCCUGUUUUUGUUCAUAAUUGAGUUGAAUAAUAAAUAUGCCCUUUUCUGUAGCUUCUUCUGCUCCACAGCUUGUUUGUGAGAUUCAUCUACAUUUUUAAGUGUAAUAUUAGAAUAUUCUUUCUCAUUGAUGCAUAAUACUUCACUGUGGGACUAUACCACAAUUUAUUUAUACAGCCUAUUGAUGAUAGAAUUUUUAGUUUUUAAGAUUUUUACUAUUACCAGUAGUCCAGCUAUAAACAUUCUAUGGAUGCAUUUUACUUGAAUAUAUUCCUAGAAGUAUACAUAUGUUUGACUUUUCCAAAGUAGUUGUAUCAAUUUAGACUGUGAAAGUUAAGAACAUUUCUUCACCAAAAGCUACCACCAGGAGAAUGAGGUGGCAACUCACAAGUGAGAUAAAAUAUUACAAUUAAAUAAUUUGACAAAGGACUUGUGUCCAAGAUAUGUAAAGAACUCUUGCAGCUAAAUAAGAAAAAGACAGAACAUCUUAUAGAAAAAUGGGUAAAAUAUUAGAAUAGGCACUUCAAGAAGAUAAUAUCUACAAGUCUAAUAAACAUGUGAAUAGACAGUCAAUGGAUUUAGUCAUUAAUUAGAUCCCACUUGUCAACUUUUGCUUUUGUUGUGAUUGCUUUUGGUGUCUUAUGAACACAAAGAAGGAAACAAUAGACAUUGAAGUCUACUUGAGGGUGGAGGGUGGGAGGAGGUAGAAGAUCAGGACAGAUGACUGUUGGGUACUUGGCUUAAUACCUGGGUGAUGACAUAAUAUGUACAACAACCCCGUGACACAUGUGUACCUAUAUUUGUCAAACCUGCACAUAUACACCCAAACCUAAAAUAAAAGUUAAAAAAAAAAGAAUUAAGUGCCGCAUGUAAGAGAACUGUAACCAUAUGUGAGGCUACAAUUGUAAUGGGGCAGAGUGGAGGAACAUAUACAGACUUUGGGCAUACUAGUUUCCUACGAGAGAUCAACUAAGCAGGAGUAGUGUAAAUAAACAAGUUUGAGCCACUUUCAAAAUUGAAGUUCCCAACAAAAUAGUCUGAGAUAGAAUUUUUUUAAGUGGAGAUGUGUUUUUCAAUGAGAUGAAGAUUUAUAAAAGAAAGCCAAAUGGGAAGUUUUUCUGGGAACAGCCCCUGUGGGGGAGCAAAGAAAACCUGAUUGCGCAGAAGAGGGGUAAAAUGCAAUGUAGCCAUAACAAAGGCUUCAGUCAAUCUUACAGAAGGCUUGGAACUUGUUGAUACUUCAGAGGUGUCCUAAAUUAGUGUGAGC